rnacentral:rRNA from 1 species
GCACGAAAGCGUGGGGAGCAAACAGGAUUAGAUACCCUGGUAGUCCACGCCGUAAACGAUGAGUACUAAGUGUCGGGUUAAACCGGUACUGAAGUUAACACAUUAAGUACUCCGCCUAGUAGUACGUACGCAAGUAUGAAACUUAAAGGAAUUGACGGGACUCCGCACAAGCGGUGGAUCAUUUUGUUUAAUUCGAAGAUACCCGAAAAACCUUACCAGGUCUUGACAUGUUUUUGCAAAAUGAUAGUAAUAUCGUGGAGGUUACCAGAAACACAGGUGGUGCAUGGUUGUCGUCAGCUCGUGUCGUGAGAUGUUAGGUUAAGUCCUAAAACGAGCGAAACCCUUAUCGUUAGUUGCCAGCACGUUACGGUGGGGACUUUAACGAGACUGCCAAUGAUAAAUUGGAGGAAGGUGAGGAUCACGUCGAAUCAGCAUGCCCCUUAUGACCUGGGCUACAAACGUGAUACAAUGGCUGUUACAAAGGGUAGCUGAAACGCAAGUUUUUGGCCAAUCCCCAAAAACAGUCCCAGUCCGGAUUGAAGUCUGCAACUCGACCUCAUGAAGUUGGAAUCGCUAGUAAUCGCGAAUCAGCAUGUCGCGGUGAAUACGUUCUCGGGGUUUGUACACACCGCCGUCAAACCACGAAAGUUGGCAAUACCCCAAAACGGUAGCCUAACUCGUUUAUUCGAGAGGGCGCCGUCUAAGGUAGGGUCGAUGAUUGGGGUUAAGUCGUAACAAGG